rnacentral:rRNA from 60 species
GUUGACCUCGGAUCAGG